AGUAUUGCAGCAGCAAUGUCUUACUCUGUCAUUUUGGGAGACUUGUUCCAUUGUAUGAUUGUAAUAAAUGAUGGUUGAAUUUCAGAGCUACAAGGAUUUGACUGGAACUGCAUGGUCUUAUGCAUAUUUCAUCAGCUUCUAUCUUAUUACAAUCGUACUACUACUGAAUUUGGUAAGUUGUAGCUAAUUUAGAGUCCUUUUCUAUGUCUUCUGUCAAUUGAAAUAAUUAGUAUCACUGACAAGUCUGCGUGCUUGUGUUUCUCAUAUUAAAACUCAAACAUAUUCUAAAGAACCAGUGUAUGUUUGGAAUAGUACAAACAUAUAACAGGAAGAACUCUUCACAUUGCAUAUAAAAUCUAGAACUUCUUGGAUAACAAUUUAUUUGCUUACACAGAUCUAUAUACUUCUAUGCAUCAAUUUGUUCUUAAUUGCUCCCUCCUGUAAAUGAUGUGGACUUUAGCUAAUGUGAUUAUAUAGUCAGGUGGAUAUAGACGGAAAAAAAAGACAAAUGGAUUAAAACAAAUUACAGGACUAGCAUCGAAGUUCGAAAUUUCAUUUAACAGCCAUCGACAAGGAUUUUGUUAUUUAGUCAUGUGCACCAGUUUCAGAUAAUUUCUUUAUUGAGGUUGAGCAUGUUUGUCUAAGCUAAAACUAAGCAAAACUUACUUUUAAGUUAUUUUUAUUUUCAAACACAUUUGGACGGUAUUCUUUUCUUACCUAUGAGUAAAAAAAAUUAUAUAUAUAUAUAUAUUUUUUUUUUUUUAACGAUAAUGUGGGUUGCUUUCAAAAUAAGCUACUUGCUUAUUUCCAACUUUGUCCAAUAAAAAUAUAUUUACCCUUUUAAUCUUAGCCAAACACAAACUUAGCUGAGUUAAAAGUAUAACGAUUAUUUUUCUUUAGUUUAGAAUGAUUAACCAUGUAAAUAGAUAGUACAUUCAUUUUAGACCAUGAUAAUAUGUUCAAUAAUGAAAACAUUGAGAAGGGGAAAUCGUUUCUUUAUAUCUUUUUGAAGUAAUCAUUUCACUCAAAUUUAUCCCCUUAUAGAAAAGUGGGAACAGGCAGAGGAGAUCUUCUUCUUCUGUUAUCUCAAGUGGUUAUCAUAACUCAAUUAAGGUUUCCUUGUCUGAAUGUGGAAACAAUUAGUAAAUCUAACAUCAAGACUUAAACUGAGAUAUAUGAGAUUCAAAUUCCCAGCCGUUUCGUUAUUAUCUUGAAGUGCUUUGUUUGUCAGCCCCUUUUGGGAGUUUUGUUAUCAAAAUUCAUUCUAUCCAUCUUAUUUUACUGAAUUCCAUUCUGUCAAUAUUGUGAAACAAAAAAAAAAUAAUAAAUAAAAGAAAUUAAUAAAAUAAACCUUAUAAUCUUUUCAAAAUAUCAUUUCAGGUUGUGGCUUUUGUAUUGGAGGCAUUUUUUGCUGAAAUGGAUCUUGAAACUUCAGAGAAAUGUGAAGAUGCGAUCGGCAAGGUUAGAAAAGAACUUUGGUUUCUAUUGUGAUCAAAGACACAAGUAGUAGUUUAGAUUAAAGAUCAAGAUUUCCCAUAAGUGGGAAAAUGGAAGGGCUCUAUGAUAUAGCUUUCAUAACCUUGAUUCCAAUCCUCAGCCCACAUCAGACAUGAUAAGGCAUCUCCAAAAAUAUAAGAUUAAAGGAUAAAACACUGUAGAAACAAUUUAAUGGGCCUUAACUUGAUAAAGAAAUUGUACUCUUAAACUGAGUUGGACUACUUAUCCUGAUACUGGCCAAACUAACAGCUCCAUGGACUCUGAAAUAUCAAAGCUUAAUAAAGAAUUUUGUGCUUUGAUUGAAAGGGGGCACUACUAUAAGUCUAUAUGUUAAAAUCAAAUAAUAUCUAUCAUCAUCUCAAAAGAAAUUUACCCUUCUUGUUCACCUCUUCAAGAUUCUUGUCAAUAUUCAGAUAUUAUAUUCUGCAUAAGUACUUAUAUACAGUAAAGUAAUGGUUGGUACAGUUGAUUUAUCAUCAUCAAGUUCCCCAGGGAAAAGAAUGACUCCUGUUUCCAGUAACAUUUCGUGUCUGUAGAAUGUCAUGUCAUGUAAUCAUAUUCAUUUUUGAUGAUUUUCCAAAUAAAAUGUUACCAUCUCGUUUUGAAUUAUGGGGUUGGUGGAGUAAACAAACUUUUGAACUUGAUUGAGCUUUGGGUUGCUGUUAUUUGGACAUAACUACAUUAAUGUAUGUGGGCUUGUUGUCAGCUUGUAGUUCAUGGAUUUGUAUAUAUGAUUUACCUUACAGCCAUUUGUACAUACUUUUGUAUCGAUAUUUUUGUACUACUAAAUAACUUGUAUUCCUUCACAAUCCAGGAUGAAAGUCAAAAGGAGCGACGUAAUGUAGGGUAUGUGUAACUGACUUCUCAGAAACUUUCCCUUUACGAAUUUAGAAUGAAGCUUGAUCGGAAUCAACAUUUUCCUUUUUUCCCUCAAAUUUUGCAGCACAAAGACGAGGAGUCAGAGAGUUGAUAUGCUUCUCCACCAUAUGUUGAGUGCUGAGCUGGGGAAGACACAGUUCUCCUCCCCGUAAACUUGGUCCAUUUCUUAUCCUUGCUAGUAAUUUCUUGAGAGCUCUUCAAUUUUGCUUUAUUUUUACUGUCAGAAUAUCUUGGGGAAUUCCUUAAGAUCUUCACGGCCUUUACUUGACCCUAAGAAAUAUUAAUCACCUCAUGUUCUUGGACACAGCUGAAUUUGAGGACACAUUGGAACUAUUUUUCUUCAUGUCAUCUUUAUCUAGAAUUACUCGCAUGCUAGGAUAAGCAGUUGAUGUACGUAAUGACAUGUUAGUGUACUCUACAGCCUAUUGAUUUUGGAACCACAACCACAUGACAGUUUUAAGUUAUUUGUGUCAUUUGAAUUAAGCAUGUGAAUAUCAUCUUGGGCCCACAUUCUUAUUCAUAAAAUGACUUUUCAUUAUCUAGCAUAUGAUUGGUAGAAAGUCAAAGUUAGCCUUGAUGGUGGAUCUGACAUUUAGUUGGCAUCCAUCGUUAGUGCACGUCACGUUUCAGGUCCACUAGGGGGAUUUGGGACGGGUUGUGAGCCUGACAUAUAAUAUAUUUUAAGUUGGCAACUGAAUAAAUUAUCACUGUUGGCUCUUAUUGAUGCUUUUGUUUUGAAAUUAUAAUAGGUUCCUCCAACAAGAACAAAGGAAAAAUUAAGCAUUCUGGAGAUUGUUUAGCAGUUUUAGAGAUUUCCAUCGUUGUUGGUCUCGCAUUUCAGAAUGAUAAAAUAUUGGUUCCACUACAUUUUCUGGACUAAUACAUUUAUUUUCUACCAGCAUUCUUUUCUUUAUAUCCUUUUGAAUUGUUGAAGAGAACCCUCCUUCCCUGCUCCAACUACUAUUCUCCUACUCAGAACUAUUAAUUUCAACUCGUUCUUUUGAUGGGCUACAAUUUUUUUGGGUUUCUUUUGGCAGUUUGUAUGUGCGUUAUGUGGAUUGAAAAUGUGAAGGAAUACAGUCUACUGAUUAUGAUUUUGAAUUGGAUUGAAAAUGUGAAUUAAUCUUGA
rnacentral:lncRNA from 1 species